ACUCGUUUGGUUGGCGGCGGUCUGCGGCUCUGUUUAGUGAAGGCUGAUGUGUUCGGUUACUUUGUUUACUAUACACGUUAACUCUUAACUGGACUGUCCUGACGGCUCUGUUGUUCUCGCCACCGUCACACUGUUAACUCUUUGUUUACUGGGCAAAGAGUCCCGACAAGUAUACUCGAUCAUUCACACUUUUACUACACAAAGAAGCUAUUAUUUUUCUCGCUGAUAAUGAUGAGUAUAAAGGCAAGAGUUUAGGCCGUCUGCAUUCAGUUCAAGCCUUCGAGUGUUUGAUACUAAGAGCCACUGCAAACAUGAAGUGUUUAGUCCUGGUUUUGGUCCUGGCUUUAGUCUCUCCCUCUGAUCAGAGGGGAAUUUCCAGACUGUGAAACUACAUUUCUCAACCCAGGUCAAACAAACUGUAUUGAUGAAACUGAUGGCUCAGAGCAUGAAAUGGAUUCCACCUGGACGAACACACAGUGUUACAAAUGUCAUUGUUCCUCUACUGGCAUGACAUGCUGUGACACCAUUGUUCCACCAAGUAACCCAAAUCCUACAACCUGCACUGUGGUGUACGAUUAUCAGACCUGCCAAGCCAACCUUGUGAGCAGAGAUGACCUGUCAUUACUGUGCUAACUGAAAAGUGGGACUCCAUCACAGCUGUUGAAGUUCUUCGGAGAUGCUGUAUAUUCUUCAUAGUGCUUGCGGCAUGUCUAUUUCAAAGGGAAAAACACAACUGUACUCAUACCCCGUAAAAGCAAUGAAAAGGGCAGUUCGAUCCAUUCUAGGCCAUGUGCUGGAAAACAAACAGCCUAGUAAUAUAAGCUUUCAAAAGUUUUAUCACUUUUUAAUAUUGGAAUAAGUAAUUCAGCAUAAAUUAAAUUGUGAAUCCUGUGUGUAACUAAACCUAAUUCUAAUUAAAGUCUAAUAAAAAUACCAAUUAAGCUUGA